AUGUCCCACUCCUGCACUGCGGUUGCCGCGCCGUUCCCACCCACCUGAGCACUGCUCGCUACGUUUUGUAAGCC
rnacentral:sRNA from 1 species